rnacentral:rRNA from 1 species
CGGCAACAGCUCAAAUUUGAAAUCUGGCUCUUUUAGGGUCCGAGUUGUAAUUUGGAGAGGAUGUUUCGGGUACGGUCCGGGCUUAAAUUUCUUGGAACAGAAUGUCAAAGAGGGUGAGAAUCCCGUCUGGAGCUCGGGCACGGCCUAUGUGAAACUCCUUCGACGAGUCGAGUUGUUUGGGAAUGCAGCUCUAAAUGGGUGGUAAAUUUCAUCUAAAGCUAAAUAUUGGCCAGAGACCGAUAGCGCACAAGUAGAGUGAUCGAAAGAUGAAAAGCACUUUGAAAAGAGAGUUAAAAAGUACGUGAAAUUGUUGAAAGGGAAGCGCUGGCAACCAGACUUGCGCGUCGGGGUUCCCCCUUGCUUCUGCUUGGGUUACUCCCCGGCAUUCAGGCCAACAUCGGUUUCGGGGGUUGGUUAAAGGCCUUGGGAAUGUACUUACCCUCCGGGGUAAACUUAUAGCCCAGGGUGUCAUGCGACCUCCCGGGACCGAGGAACGCGCUUCGGCUCGGAUGUUGGCGUAAUGGUUGUCAGCGACCCGUCUUGAAACACGGACCAAGGAGUCUAACAUCUAUGCGAGUGUUAGGGUGUCAAACCCUUACGCGGAAUGAAAGUGAACGGAGGUAGGAAGCCAUUAGGCUGCACUAUCGACCGAUCCUGAAGUUUACGGAUGGAUUUGAGUAAGAGCAUAGCUGUUGGGACCCGAAAGAUGGUGAACUAUGCCUGAAUAGGGUGAAGCCAGAGAAAACUCUGGUGGAGGCUCGCA